ACGAACGCUGGCGGCGUGCUUCACACCUGCAAGUCGAACGGAAAGGCCUGCUUUCCCUUGUGGAUUGCGGGUACUCGAGUGGCGAACGGGUGAGUAACACGUGAGUGAUCUGCCCCCAACUUGGGUAUAAGCCUGGGAAACUGGGUCUAAUUCCCGAUAGGACUGCAGGGUGGUGCCUGUGGUGGAAAACGAUUUUCUAGUGGUUGGGGAUGAGCUCGCGGCCUAUCAGCUUGUUGGUGGGGUAAUGGCCUACCAAGGCGGCGACGGGUAGCCGGCCUGAGAGGGUGGACGGCCACAUUGGGACUGAGAUACGGCCCAGACUCCUACGGGAGGCAGCAGUGGGGAAUAUUGCACAAUGGGCGGAGGCCUGAUGCAGCGACGCCGCGUGGGGGAUGACGGCCUUCGGGUUGUAAACUCCUUUCGACCGCGAGGAAGCCACCUGGUUGGAAGGGUGGUGACGGUAGUGGUAGAAGAAGCACCGGCUAACUACGUG
rnacentral:rRNA from 1 species